GUCUUAUUGAAAAUAAUUUUAAGUCAAUCUGCCCAAUGAAAUUUUUAAAUGGCUGCAGUAUACCUGACUGUACAAAGGUAGCAUAAUCAAUUGAUUUUUAAAUGAAAUCUGGAAUGAAAGGAUUAAUGAAAUAUAUACUGUCUCAUAUUUAUUUAAUGAAUUUAAAAUUUUAAUAAAAAUGUUAAAAUUUAUUUAUGGGACGAUAAGACCCUAUAGAAUUUUAUAUUUAAUUAAUUUAUAUAUACAAAUAUAAAAAAAUAAAUUUAAUUAAAUAUUUAAUUGGGAGAAUUAUUAAAUUUAAAAAAUUUUAAUUAAUAAAAACUUUAAUUUAAGAAUAUAUAAUGAUUUUUAAUUUAAAAAUAUUAGAAUAAAUUACCUUAGGGAUAACAGCGUUAUAUUUUUUUAUAGGUCAUAUAGAAAAAAAUGAUUGCGACCUCGAUGUUGAAUUAAGAUAAAUUUUAAAUGCAGGAGUUUAAUAAUUAAGUCUGUUCGACUUUUAAAAUCUUACAUGAUUUGAGUUCAAAUCGACGUAAGU
rnacentral:rRNA from 1 species